GACGAACGCUGGCGGCGUGCUUAACACAUGCAAGUCGAACGGUGAAGCUCCAGCUUGCUGGAGUGGAUCAGUGGCGAACGGGUGAGUAACACGUGAGCAACCUGCCCCUGACUCUGGAAUAAGCGCUGGAAACGGCGUCUAAUACUGGAUACGAGAAGGGUCCGCAUGGGCACUUUCUGGAAAGUUUUUCGGUUGGGGAUGGGCUCGCGGCCUAUCAGCUUGUUGGUGAGGUAAUGGCUCACCAAGGCGACGACCGGUAGCCGGCCUGAGAGGGCGACCGGCCACACUGGGACUGAGCCACGGCACAGACUACUACGGGAGGCAGCAGUGGGGAAUAUUGCACAAUGGGCGAAAGCCUGAUGCAGCGACGCCGCGUGAGGGAUGACGGCCUUCGGGUUGUAAACCUCUUUCAGCAGGGAAGAAGCGAAAGUGACGGUACCUGCAGAAGAAGCACCGGCUAACUACGUG
rnacentral:rRNA from 1 species